GAUGAACGCUGGCGGCGUGCCUAAUACAUGCAAGUCGAGCGAACAGACGAGGAGCUUGCUCCUCUGACGUUAGCGGCGGACGGGUUAGUAACACGUGGAUAACCUACCUAUAAGACUGGGAUAACUUCGGGAAACCGGAGCUAAUACCGGAUAAUAUAUUGAACCGCAUGGUUCAAUAGUGAAAGACGGUUUUGCUGUCACUUAUAGAUGGAUCCGCGCCGCAUUAGCUAGUUGGUAAGGUAACGGCUUACCAAGGCAACGAUGCGUAGCCGACCUGAGAGGGUGAUCGGCCACACUGGAACUGAGACACGAUCCAGACUCCUACGGGAGGCAGCAGUAGGGAAUCUUCCGCAAUGGGCGAAAGCCUGACGGAGCAACGCCGCGUGAGUGAUGAAGGUCUUCGGAUCGUAAAACUCUGUUAUUAGGGAAGAACAAAUGUGUAAGUAACUAUGCACGUCUUGACGGUACCUAAUCAGAAAGCCACGGCUAACUACGUG
rnacentral:rRNA from 1 species